rnacentral:rRNA from 1 species
GACGAACGCUGGCGGCGUGCUUAACACAUGCAAGUCGAGCGAGGCCCCUCCUUCGGAGGGUGUCCUAGCGGCGAACGGGUGAGUAACACGUGGGCAAUCUGCCCCUACGCUCUGGGAGUAACCCCGGGAAACCCGGGGGACGUAAUACCGGAUACGACUUCAGAGGGCGAUCCUCCCGAAGGUAGGAAAGGGGUUUAACGUUGGCUAGGGAGUGAGCCCGCGGCCUAUCAGCUUGUUGGUGGGGUAAGUAGCCUACCAAGGCGACGACGGGUA